AGCACAGAAGACGAAGAGCUGGAAUAGAGCUCGCCUCGGCUCUGCUGGCCUUGGCUGCAGCUCUUCCAGAAACCCGGGGCGCCCACAGAAGAAUCUCUUACCUGGCUCUCUCUUCAGGGAUGACAUCAUCGGCUCACACCAGUCUUCCAGGACCACCUUCUGGAUGCCAAGGCUGCUGCUCGAGUACCUGCUGUGCACCUCUACCUCCUGGUACCCCAGCCACUCCCUCAAGUUGCCUGCAUGUUAUAUGGCCUAGCCAAGGAGCACGGAUUCCAGGAACCCACUACCAUACAGAGCAACUCCUUGUGGACCCCCCUGGGAUCAGGACAGCGAGGGACAAGCGACAAAGAGGAUCAUCAGUGGCCAGCUAGUUUCUCUGGGGUUCAAACCUUGAACCAGUGCCCUAGUGAGGGGGCACUGGCCAUGGCCCUUGACCUUUGCUCUGCUUGUGUCUUGAGUCUGAGCCCUUUCCUGUACAUCUGUGCUCGUGUUCAUCUGCUAGUGAACUGGAGUGCUGCCCUCCCCGAGGAGGGUCGUCCCUUGUGACUGAUCAUGCUGUCCUAACAAUGUCCUGAGCAAAAGGGUCCCUUUGGGAACCUCUCAGGAGGGGGACCCGGGUCAGGGGCGACCAGCAUCUUGCUGGCAACUCCGUGGGUGGGGUGGGGUGGGGUGCUUCCUUCUGGAAUGAGCACGUGGCUGACCCCCCAAGGCAUGUCCCCUCCCCCUCCUCCACCCACCUUCUCGGAGAUGUCCCUUUUGGGGUAGUGGGGACAUUAGGAGCAACCUCCUAGGGUUGUUGUGAGAAUUAAAUGAACUGCAGCAGCCUGAGGCAGGGCUGGGCAGAGACCUCAGCACAUGUUUGUUGAAAGGUUUGCAGGUGGAUCUAGUCCUCCCGUUCAUGGCUCAUGUGUCUCAACCAUUCUCUCGCAGACUCCUGCAGCCCCUAUGCCCAGGGCUCUCCUUGCGCCAGCCCCGGCUUCUCGAGGCCUGUCUACACUCGCUGCUUUCCUUCCUCACCUCCAAUUUCCCCUCCAACCCACUGCUUCCUGACUCGCUCUUCUCCAUCGAACGGCUCUCGCUCAGCUGGCAUUGCCCACCGGCCAUGCCGGCUGAAGAAAAGAAGACUGAGGACCCCAGGAUGCCCAGCGCGAGGACCCCAGGAAGCCCAGCGCGAGGACUCCACCCACGACGCCCAGCGCGAGGACUUCACGCACAACACGUUGCAACCCUCCUGGAUUAGGCCAAAGCCAUCAUCUGGAAUCCUGCGUGGGACCCUGGACACACGGACACAGACACCUGCCCCCAGGACCCUCCAACUGUAAAUCGAUUGGAAGCGCCCUUGUGAGCUGGGGCCUUCAAAGGGCUGAGGAGAAAAUGCAGGCCGAGAGACCAGCUUCUCAAAUAGGCUUCAAGCCUCCAUGACCUGAGCUCACCCCCUGGAAAUGUCUGGAAAACAUAAUGGGCAGGUUUUCUGUCUUCAAAGUUUCCAUCAAAACCUCUUCAAGUUCUUUAUUGUUUAGGACUGAGACACUUGGGGACAGUAAUGGGGACUUUCUUUUGUAUCUGUCUUGAAAGGCCAAAAUAUUUUUAUAUUGCUGUAGACAAAGCCACCUAUUUACAAAUGGACUCUUGUUCCGUCGUUUCCCACCAGGAAGACCGUACUAUGUUUGUGUCUCUAUGUAUUCUGGGGUCUUGAAACAGGUUUCUCAUGGGGAUGGCCAUUCACUAGAGCCCAGAGGGGCAGAAGGGGAAGUGUCUACCCUGCCAAGGGGGUCUGGGGAAGGAGGGGGGCUAGUCUCAGAUUUGCUCCUUGUAUGUCUAGGGUAAACCCUGGGAGAAUCUGGUGGUAAAAGAACAUAUGCUGUGUUUGCCCCACA
rnacentral:lncRNA from 1 species